UACAGAGGGGGGCAAGCGUUGUUCGGAAUUACUGGGCGUAAAGGGUGCGUAGGCGGCCCUGUAAGUCAGUGGUGAAAUACUGCAGCUUAACUGUAGCAUUGCCAUUGAUACUGUAGGGCUUGAGUACAGAUGAGGUAGGCGGAAUUGAUGGUGUAGCGGUGAAAUGCAUAGAUACCAUCAAGAACACCGAUUGCGAAGGCAGCUUACUAAGCUGUAACUGACGCUGAGGCACGAAAAGCGUGGGGGAUCGAACAGG
rnacentral:rRNA from 1 species